CGGCACCACAGUGGGUCCCUCCCCCAAGCAAACAACUGUCAUUGAGUGACUGUUAGUAGUUGUGCUCAGCCAUUGGUUGGCUAUGCUGUGGGCUCCUCCCCCAAGUGAGCAACUGUCACUGAGCAACAGUUAGUGGCUGAUUCAGCAAAUGGUCAUCAGAAUGGUGGUUGUCAGGUGGAGAGUGAGCUCUGGACCAAUAAAACAGAAAGAAGACCACCUUAUGGAACUGUGAGAAGAUACUCAACUGUACCCACUCUUGCCCAUUUUACCAUAUGAUUCUGUCUAUGGUCGAUAUUACCUAUAACUAUUUGAGUCUGUAUUGAUUCAUUCAUCAAACAACUUGUGAGUAUCUACUGUGUGUGGAUGGCAUUGUGCCAGGUGCUGAGGAUUAGGACAAGAUGAAGAGGUCAGUUCCUAUCUUCAGAGACAUUGUGUCUAGGACAUGAUGGCUGUAGGGAUUGUGUAAAUUUCUCAUUCACUUUACAUAUAUUCAUUGAGCACUGUUAUCUGCAGGCACUCAACCAUACUACAGUGAAUAAGAAGCAGUAGAGUACUGUAUAAAAGCCAGACAACCUGGAAUGAGAUUACACUUUGGGGCUACAUGGAAGCUCUUAAACCACCUUAUGCCCCAGUUUCCUCAGAUGUAAACAGAAGUAAUGCAAAAUUUAUUGAGUUAUAGAAUUAUUAGGAAGAUCCUAUGAGUUAGUAUGUAUAAAUCACCAUGUAACAUUUAGCUCUUACUAUUGUUUCUCACAUUUUUUUCCCUUCAUGCUUUAGUCCCUCUUCAAAUCUAUAUUCUUUCUCAUUACUCCCUUUCUCUUAGACCAAGCAGUCCUGUUAAUGAAUCAUGAAUUUGAAUAUUGCUAUUUAUCAGUACCCUGUUAAAAAUAUUGCCUGUU
rnacentral:lncRNA from 1 species